UUCUACAUCGUCGAUUAAUAGUUGGAAAUUCGGUGAAGUUUUUUCAUGAAUAUACGUUUAAAAUAAGUAAACACUAAAAGUGCACACUGACAGUUGAUUACGAUACAUCUAACAAUUUGAGUCAUUACAGUAAAACAUGGAUUAUAAGUGAAUUAUACGCGUAAGAGAAGAUUUUCUGUCGAAAAAACUAAUGUCAACAAUCAGCAUGGAAUUGGGAUAUUCGUAUCAAAGGGCUAUUCAUGCAGGAAAAGGACUGAAUAUUACUAUUAUAUGAAGAAUUCCAGCCUGCAUUAAAUACUUUGUUGGAUCAUUGAGACAGAUUUGACAUCCAUGUCUAUCUACAUCUGAUAGAGAUGAUCACUAAACAUUCUAGAUGGGUAAAGACCUGUUAAAUCAGCAUUGACUCAGCAUUGAGUAAUUUUCAUCUGUGCAGACACUACAAGUACAAACGCAUGGGAACAAACCAAACUUCAAAUGUUGAAGAGUGAAGAAUUAUUGUGAAAAGUUCUAAAUGUUAGAAUACCAUUGACUAAAUAAAACAAAUAGACAUCGAUUACCAGCAGAGACUGUUUACAUGUUAUAAUAUUAAAAAGACAUUAGUUGAGAACUUUCACUCUGACAUUUUUGGAGGGGCAUUACCGCCUACAUAGUGUUCUUGUUUCUUUACAUAUUUUAAUUUUAAGUACAUUCAUUGUUUUUAAAUCUGAAUUCUGAGUUAGUAUCAUAAGUAAAAUUCAUUUAUUUGAAUGAUUACAUUUUAUGAAUAAGUCCAAUUGAGCUUUUUACAAGAAAAAGGUUGAUUUUUAAGCAUUUUAUUAGUUAUAAAAAUGUAUAGUUACAUGACAUUAUGUAUAUUUUCUUCAAAACUGAACGGUAAACUAUCAUAAAUUGUCUUUUGAAUUGUUCAUUAGACAUCAUAGAAAAUAUAUAAAUGAUUUCAGCAGGUUGUCUUAUUAUUUUUUAUGAAUUUAUAAAACUGCUAUAUAUUUUCAAACAUGGAAAUACUGCUCUGUUCCGAAGACUCACAAGAUCAAUCAAAAUGAUUUUUUUUCCAUGUGUAUCAAUAAUAUGUUCGGUUGAACGUAAUUUUUCUGUUAACUGAAGUUUAUUUUACCAGAAACUGUUGUGUAUAUUUCAUAAUCUCUGAUAAUGUGAAAAAAAAUCAAAUAAAGACAAAAUAUUUUUAAUUAACAGUAAAAAAUCUUCAAAAUUUGGAUAAAAGUCCCAUAGUGUACCAUGAUAAUAACUAUGUUGUCCGUAAAAGCUUUAUAAAAGUGUGUAUUACUUGUACCUUAAUUCAGUUCAAAUAAUUAUGGCCUUUAAGGAUUUGUGUUUUCAUAAUAUAGAUUUCCUGUUAUAUUGAGCUUUGUCAAUUUGUGUUGAUGUUUUGUUUUAUGUACAAUUACUACUUCUAUUGUAACUUUUGUCUCAUUUGUCAAAUUGAAUUGUUACAUAUUUAAGUGAAAAAAACACACACACUAUUUUUAAAGAUGCACUCUUACUCCCCAAUAAGACUUAUGAUAAUUAAUAUUAUUGUUUUCAUUUUUCAAAAUGGGUUGAUAGAUGUCAACAACAAUGUUUCUAAUGAAGGAGUUCAAUUUGCUAAUAAGAAUGAACUUAAAACAUGGUAUUUCUGCCUUGUGAUACUAUAGUAGACCACAGUAAAUCUUUUAGCAAUCACCAAUUGAUCAUUUAAUAUUUGUCAUGCAUUCUGCUAUUAUAAACAGGGUGACAAGCUUGUUAUCAGUAAACGAUAUUUCAGUAAAUCAUUAUUUAGUAAGUAGUUAUUGUUUUUUUCACUCAAUUUGAUGUGUUAUAUAUACAAUUAUAUGUAUUGAUUUCAAAUAAGAGUUUCACUUUAAAGAUACUCAUUUAAAGAUAAUGAACAGACACACAAAACUAGACACAUUUGAUACUAAUAAUACGAAUGAUUAUUGUUUUAUAUAUAGGUGACCUCUGAUUUGUUUUGGAGAUAUUCAUAAAUGGGUGUUAUUCUUUAUUGUCUUCAGUUUCUUAUACAUUUAAGGAUUUUUAUUAUUGCUUUUCUGGUAUAUAUUACAAUGUAAUUUAAUGCAAAUGAAAACACACUUUAAACUGGACACAUUUGAUACUAAUGAUAUAAAUGAUAUUUCAGCGUAUUGCAAGAGCUAUUCCCUUUGUAUCUUUUCCUGUCCGGAGCAUAACUAGAAAACUACUUUUUUGGAAUUUCAUUAAACAUCAUUCAAUGGUAUUUAGCACAACGAGAGGAAGUGCAGUGCACAAUGACUAUAGCUGUUUUUAAGCUAAUUACAUAAUUAUUGCCCUUUGCCGCUUUUUCUUGACCAGAGCAUUACUUCAAAACUACUUAUGGUAUUGAAAUAAAACUUGGUAUAUGGGUAUGUGGCAAUGACAAAAAGUACAGUGCACAAGCACCCUAAUUCUGUCGUGUUCAUUAAUGUACACUACCCCUAAUGAAAUGUUCAACUUGAAAAUCUUCAAUUUCAAUGCUUUUGCCUAUGUUGUCAUGCAGAAAACUACAAACAUUUUGAGAAUUUCAUAGAUGCGGUUCAAUACACCAUAAUAUGCUUGUUGGCCUUGACAUUCCUUGUUUUUCAACAUAUAACAAGUGCAUAAACUAUUA